rnacentral:rRNA from 1 species
UACGUAGGGUGCAAGCGUUGUCCGGAAUUAUUGGGCGUAAAGAGCUCGUAGGCGGUCUGUCGCGUCUGGUGUGAAAACUCAAGGCUUAACCUUGGGCCUGCAUCGGGUACGGGCAGGCUAGAGUUCGGUAGGGGAGACUGGAAUUCCUGGUGUAGCGGUGAAAUGCGCAGAUAUCAGGAGGAACACCGAUGGCGAAGGCAGGUCUCUGGGCCGAUACUGACGCUGAGGAGCGAAAGCGUGGGGAGCAAACAGG